rnacentral:rRNA from 1 species
AUGGUCGUUAUUCAUCGACUCUUCUCGCGGAUUUCGCCCGCGAUGGUGGUGCCUGCUCUACACCGACUCCUCUCGCGGUUUUCGCGCGCGGCGGUGAUCACUCUACGCCGACUCCUCUCGCGGCUUUCGCGCACGGCGGUGACCGCUCUAUGUCGACUCCCCAUGUGGCUCCCACAUGUGGCUCUACGUCGACUUGCUACUCUCGGUCGACUCUACAUGCGGCCUCCAGGGGUGGUGGCGACUGCUCAUCGUCGUCGGAUGUUUCUACGUCGAUCUCUUCUGCCGAAGCUUCUGCCGUGUCCCUGUCUGCGCAUGAGAUUGCACAUCUGCGAUGCCUGCUUGAUGCUUGGGACUCUUCACCGACAGUUUCUGCAGGUUCUGUGA